rnacentral:rRNA from 1 species
ACGCUGGCGGCGUGCCUAACACAUGCAAGUCGAGCGAGGAGAUUCCUUCGGGAUGAUCCUAGCGGCGACGGGUGAGUAACACGUGGGCAACCUGCCUCAUAGAGAGGAAUAGCCUUCCGAAAGGGAAGAUUAAUACCUCAUAACAUUGCAGUUUCGCAUGGAACAGCAAUUAAAGGAGUAAUCCGCUAUGAGAUGGGCCCGCGGCGCAUUAGCUAGUUGGUGAGGUAACGGCGUCACCAAGGCGACGAUGCGUAGCCGACCUGAGAGGGUGGAUCGGCCACAUUGGGACUGAGACACGGCCCAGACUCCUACGGGAGGCAGCAGUGGGGAAUAUUGCACAAUGGGGGAAACCCUGAUGCAAGCAACGCCGCGUGAGUGAUGACGGCCUUCGGGUUGUAAAGCUCUGUCUUCAGGGACGAUAAUGACGGUACCUGAGGAGGAAGCCACGGCUAACUACGUGCCAGCCGCUGC